AGUGAACGCUGGCGGUAGGCCUAACACAUGCAAGUCGAACGGCAGCACAGUAAGAGCUUGCUCUUACGGGUGGCGAGUGGCGGACGGGUGAGGAAUACAUCGGAAUCUACUUUUUCGUGGGGGAUAACGUAGGGAAACUUACGCUAAUACCGCAUACGACCUACGGGUGAAAGCAGGGGAUCUUCGGACCUUGCGCGAUUGAAUGAGCCGAUGUCGGAUUAGCUAGUUGGCGGGGUAAAGGCCCACCAAGGCGACGAUCCGUAGCUGGUCCGAGAGGAUGAUCAGCCACACUGGAACUGAGACACGGUCCAGACUCCUACGGGGGGCAGCAGUGGGGAAUAUUGGACAAUGGGCGCAAGCCUGAUCCAGCCAUACCGCGUGGGUGAAGAAGGCCUUCGGGUUGUAAAGCCCUUUUGUUGGGAAAGAAAAGCAGCAGGUUAAUACCCCGCUGUUCUGACGGUACCCAAAGAAUAAGCACCGGCUAACUUCGUG
rnacentral:rRNA from 1 species